rnacentral:rRNA from 1 species
UACGGAGGGUGCAAGCGUUAUCCGGAUUCACUGGGUUUAAAGGGAGCGCAGGCGGAUUUGUAAGUCAGACGUGAAAUCCCUCAGCUUAACUGGGGAACUGCGUCUGAUACUGGAUGGCUUGGAUUCGGGAGAGGAAUGCGGAAUUCCAGGUGUAGCGGUGAAAUGCGUAGAUAUCUGGAGGAACACCGGUGGCGAAGGCGGCAUUCUGGACCGAUAUUGACGCUGAGGAGCGAAAGCCAGGGGAGCAAAGCGGG